UGGCCAGCUCCUGUCUAGUUCAAACUAGUUGAGACCACUGACCCUUCAACUGGGUCUGCAUGGGUGCCUGAGAGGUGGCCUUUUGAUAUCAGAGGGUCAAAAACUCCACCCUCAAGAUCAUGCUAAUGUUGCCAUUUUCUGUACAUAUGUCCUGUGAACUGUUCGUCCACCUCAUCUCUUGGUGACCUAGUGUGUAAAUCUUUUCUCUUUUGCAGAAUCUAUGUCACAGUGAUUGAUUUACUGCAUAUGAGCAGAAUGAACCUGGACCUGGCCAGUAUCAUUAAGGGUCUCACUUCAUCACCUAGACUGGAGUACAGUAGCACAGUUGCAGCUUCCUACAUCUUGACUUCCUGGGUUCCAGUGAUCCUCCCCCUUCAGCCUCUCAGCAGAGAGAGAAAGAAAGCAGAGCUCUUUGAAGCAGAGAAAGAAAGCAGAAAGCAGAGAUCUUUGAAGGCUUAAGAAACCAUAAGGAGUUUUGGAGAGUCAAUGCAUGAUGAUCUCUGAAGAUUCUACUGAAAUCUAAUCAAUAUGUCCUCACUGCCAUCAAUUCAAAAGAACUUGCUAAGAAGGCUCUAGAGGCUUGUACUCUCAGAUAGUGAAAGUGAGAUGAUGUGUAGUGAAAGUCAUAUAUAGGUUGUAAAUUGCAAUAUGGAAUUCCCAAAUGCUGAAUUCAUUUUAUCUCUUCGGAAAUAAAAACCUGUUAAAGACUCA
rnacentral:lncRNA from 1 species